GAUGAACGCUGGCGGCGUGCCUAAUACAUGCAAGUCGAACGCAUUGUGGUUGAAAUGAUAUGAAGAACUUGUUCAGAUUUGAUUUUCAACAUUGCAAUGAGUGGCGAACGGGUGAGUAACACGUGGGAAACCUACCUCUUAGCAGGGAUAACAUUUGGAAACAAAUGCUAAUACCGUAUAAUAAUUAAAACCGCAUGGUUUUAGUUUAAAAGAUGGUCUUGCUAUCACUAAGAGAUGGUCCCGCGGUGUAUUAGUUAGUUGGUGAGGUAAUGGCUCACCAAGACAAUGAUACAUAGGCCGAGUUGAGAGACUGACGCACAUGGGACUGAGACACGGCCCAUACUCCUACGGGAGGCAGCAGUAGGGAAUCUUCCACAAUGGACAAAGUCUGAUGGAGCAACGCCGCGUGUGUGAUGAAGGUUU
rnacentral:rRNA from 1 species